GCGGUUGUGGUGGAACUGGUAGACACAUCAGCUUGAGGUGCUGACUCCUGAGAGGGAAUGAAGGUUCAAGUCCUUUCAACCGCA
rnacentral:tRNA from 1 species